CUGGAACCUCUCGGGGUUACAGCCUUGCUGAAUUAUUCACCCUUGUCUUUUGCGUACUUCUUGUUUCCUUGGUGGGUUCGCCCACCACUAGGACAAACAUAAACCUUUUGUAAUUGCAAUCAGCGUCAGUAACAAAUUAAUAAUUACAACUUUCAACAACGGAUCUCUUGGUUCUGGCAUCGAUGAAGAACGCAGCGAAAUGCGAUAAGUAGUGUGAAUUGCAGAAUUCAGUGAAUCAUCGAAUCUUUGAACGCACAUUGCGCCCUUUGGUAUUCCAAAGGGCAUGCCUGUUCGAGCGUCAUUUGUACCCUCAAGCUUUGCUUGGUGUUGGGCGUCUUGUCUCUAGCUUUGCUGGAGACUCGCCUUAAAGUAAUUGGCAGCCGGCCUACUGGUUUCGGAGCGCAGCACAAGUCGCACUCUCUAUCAGCAAAGGUCUAGCAUCCAUUAAGCCUUUUUUUCAACUUU
rnacentral:sRNA from 1 species